UGCGUAGGUGGCAAGCGUUGUCCGGAUUUACUGGGUGUAAAGGGUGUGCAGCCGGGCUGACAAGUCAGAUGUGAAAUCCCGCGGCUCAACCGCGGAACUGCAUUUGAAACUGUCAGUCUUGAGUACCGGAGAGGUCAUCGGAAUUCCUUGUGUAGCGGUGAAAUGCGUAGAUAUAAGGAAGAACACCAGUGGCGAAGGCGGAUGACUGGACGGCAACUGACGGUGAGGCGCGAAAGCGUGGGGAGCAAACAGG
rnacentral:rRNA from 1 species